AACUUCCGGUCCCACUGCCAGGCGACAGGCUUCGUGGCCGAACACCGAGCGUUCCGGAGCCGGGGAGGCUGCCGGGGAAAAGGAGCGGAGCCAGGUAGUGAUUCCUCAGCAGCCUGUGGAGUGAAGGAGAGAAGACAGAAGGAAAAAUUAUUAACAAUGCUAUAAGCCUUUUCUUCUCCCCCAAUCCAAUCCAGAUAAGGCUAGUAUAGCCCCAACACCCAGCAGAGCCCCUGCAGCUGCCCAGUAUCCAGAAGGAGUGCUGCCAUUAGAAAAGUGAGGUGUGCGCCUUUGGAGAUG